AGUGAACGCUGGCGGUAGGCCUAACACAUGCAAGUCGAACGGCAGCACAGUAAGAGCUUGCUCUUACGGGUGGCGAGUGGCGGACGGGUGAGGAAUACAUCGGAAUCUACUUUUUCGUGGGGGAUAACGUAGGGAAACUUACGCUAAUACCGCAUACGACCUACGGGUGAAAGCAGGGGAUCUUCGGACCUUGCGCGAUUGAAUGAGCCGAUGUCGGAUUAGCUAGUUGGCGGGGUAAAGGCCCACCAAGGCGACGAUCCGUAGCUGGUCUGAGAGGAUGAUCAGCCACACUGGAACUGAGACACGGUCCAGACUCCUACGGGAGGCAGCAGUGGGGAAUAUUGGACAGUGGGCGCAAGCCUGAUCCAGCCAUACCGCGUGCGUGAAGAAGGCCUUCGGGUUGUAAAGCCCUUUUGUUGGGAAAGAAAAGCAGCAGGUUAAUACCCCGCUGUUCUGACGGUACCCAAAGAAUAAGCACCGGCUAACUUCGUG
rnacentral:rRNA from 1 species